rnacentral:rRNA from 1 species
GUGGGGAAUUUUGGACAAUGGGCGCAAGCCUGAUCCAGCAAUGCCGCGUGCAGGAAGAAGGCCUUCGGGUUGUAAACUGCUUUUGUACGGAACGAAACGGUCCUGGUUAAUACCUGGGGCUAAUGACGGUACCGUAAGAAUAAGCACCGGCUAACUACGUGCCAGCAGCCGCGGUAAUACGUAGGGUGCGAGCGUUAAUCGGAAUUACUGGGCGUAAAGCGUGCGCAGGCGGUUAUGUAAGACAGAUGUGAAAUCCCCGGGCUCAACCUGGGAACUGCAUUUGUGACUGCAUAGCUAGAGUACGGCAGAGGGGGAUGGAAUUCCGCGUGUAGCAGUGAAAUGCGUAGAUAUGCGGAGGAACACCGAUGGCGAAGGCAAUCCCCUGGGCCUGUACUGACGCUCAUGCACGAAAGCGUGGGGAGCAAACAGGAUUAGAAACCCGUGUAGUCC